ensembl:lncRNA
GGCAUCUCUUGGGGAUGAAACCACAGUACCAUAUGGCUUUAAUGUACUUGAUAUAGUUCUCUAAAUAACUGCUAUAAAUUAUAUUUCAGAAUUAUGCUGGACAGCAAUCGAGUUUGUCUUCCAAACUGUCAAUAAUAUAUUAUGAAUAUAGGUAAGAAUUUGAUUGCUCACAGGAUGCAGUAUUUAAAUAAUUAACAACUAACCAAUCCAUUUUGCAAGUGUCAUUUGUGACACUUUGAAUUAUACUAAUUUUAACUUUAACAUCCCAUGAUAAAAUGGGCGAAUAACACACCCAGCAAAUUGAAACUUACUCAGGAAGCAGAAUGCACCAUAUCUCUAGCAUUGUAGCUAAAGUAGUGCAAUACAGCUUCCUCACAAAGAAUGAGAUCCAGCAUCUUAUUAUAAUUUUAAAUGCAAAUUUUAAAUGGAAACAUUCUUCUGAGUAUGAAAGCAGUUUACUGCCCAAUUCUGGCAGAAGAUGAUAUAAUGAAUAGCUGAAUUUAUAAAUUUAGGACAAAGUGAAGUAUAUAGUUUGGUUUUCCAGGAUUAUAUUAUAUAUUUUUUCCCUCAAAUGUUUAUUUGUCAACAGGUUGAGUUAUUAACACAGAUCAGUUUCAUUCCUGAUCUGGAACAAAACUCACUCCAUGAAAUAAUCAUCAUUACCUGUUAACACUAACAAUAUUGUUGCUUCUGACAUUACCAGCUGACAGAAGACAUGAUGGCCUUCUAAAAUGUAGACCUAGAGGGAAUAUUGCAGAGACCUAACCAUCAAGUUCAGAAUGUGUACAAUAUCUGGACCUAAAUAUUAGUUUCUGGCAAGACAGACAGCCUUUACUCCUUCAAGAGUGUGGCUGGAGUUGAUAUCACAACCAUUCUGUGUUCCAUGGCUGGACUGACUGCAAAAUUCCAGGGAACUUAUUGCUACAUCUUGAUAAGGAUUUUUCUUUAGAGUGGAAGAUGAAGGUGAGAAACAAGUCAUUGCCAUAAAUGUUUUAGCAGAAGAUGACUGUGAGCUUUUCUCUCCCAAUCGAUCCCUCUUAGUGAAGCUUGCAAAAACACAGACAUUUCUUCCAACUGAAGGAAUUCAAAAAUGUUUUCAAGUCCUAGAUGACAAUGGGUUGCAGUAAAGAUCAGUAAGAGAAAUGUCUUCACCAGGAGUGGGUAGACUUUUUCAAAGGUUCUCCAGCUGCAAAAUUACAGAUUCAAAUCAGAAAAGAUGAUAAUUUAAAAUAUUAAUGCAAAGGUGCCAGAGGAUACUGGGAUGAAAAAUUGCAUUGCCGUGAUGCGAGGAGAUCUGUCUGGCUCUAUACACUGUCCCAAGAGGACAAGGAUUGGAUUCCUCUGAAUGUGCAACUGACACUUCCUACAAAGGAACCUUGAAGGUGGCCAAGGUCAUCGCAGCAGACUGCAAACUGAUUGAAGCCUCUGAGGAGAUCCAUUUUUUGAAGAUCUGGACCGUUGGUUCCUGAAGCUUUCUGGUGAUAGCCUCAGACUCUUCAGGUCUGUGGAGGAAAUUACAUCUACUAGAACUGGAGUUACUUCAGAGAAGUAGCUGUACAAGGGAUGACUGCUGGCACUUCAUUUCAAAUUGAUAAAAAAAAAAAAAAGGAAAUUCUUAACAGACUUCAAAGGUUGUUGAAGAGAUGACUGUCUUCUGGAAGGCCACCAGGAAAGCAAGCAGAGUGAGUUGUCAAAACAGAAAAAUAAAGCCUUCACCAAACAUAAAUAAGGCCCUCAAAUGAAGUUUACAAUAUGGUGAUGACUGAAGAUAAAAAAGACAGCUGUCUGGGUUCAUCUUGUGUGACCUGAAAGCAAUGUGGAGUGUAUACUUAAAGUUUUGUUUUCUCAAGUGUGUUACUUUUUCCACAAAAUGACUGAAGAUGAUUCAUGAGACUUUUCUUCAUUUGAUUUAAUAGGGCAGUAUCAUGAUGAUUUCAUUGCUAUUUCUAGUGUUGUACCUUUUUAUUUUCCCUCUUGAGAAAUACUAAACCAAUACCAAAUGACUGUUACUUAUUUAUUUGUUUGUUUGUUUGUUCACUCAUUCUUUAUUUAUUUAUUUUCUAAAAUGCACUUACUAUGACGGAUGAUAACAUGCUCCCUUUUUAAAUUACGCUUAUAAUGUUAGAUUUUUCAUUUGUGUUCCAAAUACUAUUGGAAAAGUAUUCCCUAACCCAAAAUUUCUAAAAUAUAAUUCUUUUUUCUUUUUUUUUUUUCAAAAUGAUUGAAGUCUCUCUUCCAGAAAUCAAAAUGAUUGAAGUCUCUCUUCCAGAAAACAAAAUUAAAUGUACAACGAAAGUUGUGUCAAGGCAUACAAAGAGAAGUCUUGGGAAUGGAGAUUAAGAGGGAACUUCUAGAUGUCACCAGAACACUAGCGAUGCAAGGCUGCUGGUACCUCAUGAUGCCCACAAGUAUGCAGCUGUCUACACCAACCAGCAGUGUGGCUGAGGAGUGGACCAGGUCUGAACUGUGCCAUCAGUGGAUCACCAGAAGGAAUCAUUGAAGAAGUUUUCCUUCUAUGUUGGUUUCUAAGCAAUGAGGAAGGUACAAUGCACUGCAUAACAGUUUACAAAAUUGUUCCUCAUAUGAGAGGAUCUCAGCAUUCUUGAUGGAGUGUAAUGGGCUGCGGUGCCCCCAGAAAUAGCCUUUAAAAGCCCCAGGCUGAUCAGCAUAAUUGCUGUCUCUUAAAACUUUGUGCCAGCACUGAUGUGAAUGGAGGAGACUCCAGCAAUGCGCCUGUUUCCAUGGAGUACAUCAAAGAACAAUGGAGCAGAAGGCAAAACUUGGAUGAAGCUACCCUCAGGAAAGAGGCUGGUACAUUUGUGGACAGGGAAAAGAGACAGAACAUGAAAGAAGCAUGCUAAAUGGAGAAUCUCAAGUCAUCCAGGCCAGUCCUUUGGCAUCAGCAGCAACCAUGUAACAGAGGUCUUUUUCAUGAACACAUCAAGAACAUCACUAACUUGGCAAUGUUGUAGUCUGAAGAACUCUGUCCCAUUCUGGUAAAGUUGGGCACGGUACAAAUUAAUUUCUUUAGGGAUGGCAUACUGCUCUUGGAGGAUGGUUUAAGAGCCCCAGGAAAUUAAAACUUUUGAUGGAAGCAGAUUUGUACAAUGUGACUACAUCCUUCCACCAUUCUGCAUAUCACCACUACAGUUCCUAACAGGAAUUUCCUCAGCAAAAAAAAACAUAUGCAGAGAUAAUAACCUCCCUGCUGAUACUGGCAGAUACUCUUCUUUCUGAUGGACUCAUUUCAUUCAUGGACGCAACAGGGGGUGAAAGGAUUAUUUUAGCAUAUUUAUUUUCUUUCCUUUCACAUCAUUCACUGAGUAUGCACAAAUUGGAAGAAUGCCAAAUUGUUUACAGAAGGUCAGAGAUGGUUCGAGCCAAAGCCAUCAGUCUAAGUGCCCUCGAACUUUAGGGGUUUUCUGAUGUGGCUUUGACUCCAAAAGCCAUGACUCAGCCCCAUCUCUGCACCAGAACGAGCACCAAAAUGAAUGUUAAGGACAAGCCCUGUACUGAGCUGUACUGUGAGCUCCCACUGAGUGCUAGACAUGAGAAAUCUCCCUGACUCUGUCAGUGUAAAGCUUCCAAGAUGCAGUAUACAAUAACUACCCUUAUGGAAGGUGGUUACAAAAGACCGUGAAAGAGAUGAACUUCAGAUCCAGGGUCACAAGGAAACUUCUUACAAUCAAAACUCUGUUUGCUCACCUCUGAUGUUUGCAGGUUGCACAGGACGCCUUCACUUGGCUUUACAAAGGAAGACUCAUGGACAAGGAAUGCAGGAAAGUUAACUCCUAUUCUCAUGGCACAGUUAACCUAUGGUGCACACACCAACCUUGCUGAGUGUCUAAAGAGCCAUAGUCUGGUUUAGCAUAUCCAGUUUCAGACAUCAUAAAGUGACAACUAAGUCUGCUAGUUGAAGUUUUUCUACUAUACUGGAGAUGUCUGCAACCUAGUGUUCAGUGCAACUAAAUAGAAGACUGUAAACAUGAGUAGGAUCUAAGAUGAGCUACUACUGUUCAAAUUAGUGUGUCAAAGUCUUCCUUGUUCCCAAAAUGGCAUUUUACAGAAUUUCCUUAACUUAUAUUUUACUUCUUUUAUCAUAUAUUUUUGUAAAUGACAUCAAAAUAUGUGAAAUAUCAGAUUUUUCUAUUGAAAAUACAUGAAAUCACUGAAAUGAUGCAGUGGGUAGGAUAGGUUAGCUGCUGCCAGCCACUGCUUAGGGACCUGAUCAUCAUAGGUACUCUCAUGAAUGUUCAUUUAUAAUGAAUUUCCAGAGGCAUUUGACUGAAUAUUACAAUGCCUUGUAAUCAUGGCUGUUUCUGUAGUAAGAAACAGUAGUGUCAUUUUCAGCCCUGACUGCUUCAAAGAAUUAAAUUAAGAGUGGCAGGUAUUUUAGUGAGAGCUUAGCUAAUUGUAUAUCUGGAGGUGUAAUGAAGCCCUGAAAUAUUUCUUCCCCAUGAGAGGUGAGAGUGCUGGCUAUUACAAUAGCUUAGUUCUUUUUUGCUUGACAGUUGAAAGGCUUUUUUUAAAUAACACCAGGAAGUAAAGAGCUUUCCUAGGCACCCCUUUCCUUUCAGAAUGCUGGAUGCCCUGGCCCAGGAGAGGCUUUGAAACCUUCUCCUGUUUCUUCAACACUUGAUGGUGAUUGUUUGACUGGAGAUUUACAGCAGACUUGAAUCCCAAAGCUUUUAAACAGCUGAAGUUACAGAAGCUUGAAAUGGUGUUUGGCUUCAUCAGAGUGAUAUUGGUAUCAUCAUCCGACGUCUUUCUACAUUCCAGCAGUCAAAUGUUGCUACCACUGAAAACACCAGAACAGCUUAAAGAAAAAGCAGUUUAUAGGUCUUAUCCUCCAGGCAUGUUUGUGUAUGUCUGAACUCCAACCACAUCAGUAAUGUUACUAGCUUUAAUGGAAUCUCUCCUGUGAUAGUUUAUCGCAUGUAUAAGAAUUUGUAUGAUGAAGGCCUCAGUUAGUUAUCUCCAAGGGGAAGCAGCCAAGGAAGCAAUGAACAGGGAGGAAAGAAGAUUUCCCCUCCUGCUCUUACAGAUAGCCCCUUCCAGUUAGGGUUGAGAAGACCUGAUGGAGCCAGAGAGUAUGUAGGGGUAUGUCUGCAAAACAUCUGUUGCUUGCGCAGUGUUUUCUUUCACAGAAUGGGAGAAUCAUAGCAUGGCUGAUAUGGGAAGAGGCUUCUGGAGACUGCCUAGUCCAAACUCCCUGCUUGAGCAGGGUCAGCUAGAGGAGGUCACUCAAAGCUAUAUCCAAUCAGGUAUUUUUGAACUCCGAGGAGAAACAUCCAACAACUCCUCUGGGCAACCUGUGCCACUCUGAUCAUCUUCAUAUUGAAUUUUAUUUUUCUUAUGUUUAGAUAGAAUUUCUUGUGUUCAGUUUGUUUCCAUCGCCUCUUGUCCUAUCCCUGGGCACCACUGAUAUGAAUGUUGGUCCAUGAAAGUCCCAUGUUGCAUGUAAAUAUGUAGGCGACUAAAUUUGUACCCUUGUCUCCCCUCCAUCAUCUUUUCACAAGAAGCUAAGAUGCAAGAAAAGAAAAAGAGAUUGCAUGUUCUUCACAUGAACAUUUUUGUAACUACCAAAUGAAGGGUUCCAUUGCUACUUGCUCCAUUAAAGCCACAAUACAACAAUAUUUGAAUUGACACUGCAAAACAGCAAAGCAGAAGUUCCUGCAGUCAAAAAUAAAAAGGGAUAUAAGUGUGGAGAUGCUUUAUGUCUGUAAGAAGAAGGAAUUACUGUGUAUACAUUAAGCAAAAUCCAUGUAUCUAUUAAGUAAGAGAUAAAAGGAUUGCAUCAGUGAUAAUGUUCCCUGAUAUAAUAACAGCAAAAAGGAGAAACUAUUCCAGAGAAGAAUCCAGUUCAAUAUUGAAAUAAUACUUUCAAUUUAUAAAAUAUUCUGUCAGUAGUGAUUCUUUCUGUCAUUAGUUUUGUUACUACUGUUAUCUUCAAUGUCCCUAAUUCAGAUGUAAACAUAGUGAUAGCAUUUCCCAUGGCUGUAAGAACUGGCUUUGUGUGGAAAAGGAAAGAAUUAAAAGAAAAGUCAUUUGAAAGGAAAAAUCUUUUCUUCUUCCUUUUUCUUGUCCCUAAAAACAAAAGGAGUGGAGGUAUGACUAUCAAAAAAAGACCCAGCAAAACCAAACAACAACAACAAAAAUACCAAAAAAUCUUGGCAAAGAUGGAAUGUAACUUAUUGUGUGAAGCAACAGAAGGCAGUAAGCCAGGAAAAAAAGAGAUAAGAAUGUCUUUGAAAAUAUUAAAUUAUAGCAUGCCUUGAAUUAUCUCCUUUAAAUUCUUAAAAUGUUCGUAGUUAUUGUUUGAAUUACUGCAACGGAAAAAAUGCAUAUAAAGCAUAUAAUAAUAAAAGACUAUGUAUUUUUCUUUUACUCCACUGUAUUCUGUUCACUGUAGUAAAUUAUGUGUGUGCAUUGUCAUAUACAGGCAUGUAUGUCAUUAUACAUUUGCUAGGUCUUUAUAUUUUUGUAUAAUUAUUUCAUAUUUAAAAUUUUAAAACUAUACACUUUGCAAUCCAAUUUGCAGAAGUCCUACUAAGUCCGACAAAAAUGAACCUAGGAAAAGAACACAAACAAAGUUGUCUAAAACUAGCUGGGCAACUUACUUUCUGGAAAGAAUGUUUUGCAAAAGGGAAUUGAAAGAUUAAUUGCAAAGUUUUCUUCAAAACUUUAGAAGAUAUUCUGAUGUAAACCUUGAAAAUAAAAUGAAUGAAGAUGUAAUUUGUAUCUUACUUGUGUUCAACAGUAGUGUUUGAGCAGGUAUCAUAGUAUAAUAGAAUGGCCUGGGUUGAAAAGACCACAAUGAUCAUCAAGUUUCAACCCCCCUGCUAUGUGCAGGGUCACCAACCACUAGACCAGGCUGCCCAGAGCUACAUCCAGCCUGGCCUUGAAUGCAUCUAGGGAUGGGGCAUCCACAACCUCCUUGGGUAACCUGUUCCAGUGCAUCACCACUCUCCGUAUGAAAAACUUCCUCCUAAUAUCUAAUCUAAACCUCCACAUCCUAGUUUAAAACCAUGAGAAGAAGCAAUGGAGGCCAAUGUAGCAAAUCAGCUACAACUUCUGUAUACCUAUAAAGAUAAAUCCCAUUCUGUUCCUUAGGAGUCUAAUAGUGUACCAUCAUGUACCUGUGUGUAUUGUACAACAGUGACAUCAUUCGUACUGACUGGAAUAGGUAUCUAGAAGGAGGGAUCUCUUUUUAUCCUAUGGUAUUAAAUAAUAAUAAAAAUACUAUUUUUUUUUUUAAAGGAUGUGGAAUCUUAAUGUUUUGAAUAUAUGAA